rnacentral:rRNA from 1 species
UACGAAGGGCGCUAGCGUUUUUCGGAAUUACUGGGCGUAAAGCGCACGCAGGCGGAUUUAUAAGUCAGGGGUGAAAUCCCGGGGCUCAACCUCGGAAUUGCCUUUGAUACUGUCUAUCUUGAGUCCGGGAGAGGUGAGUGGAAUUCCUAGUGUAGAGGUGAAAUUCGUAGAUAUUAGGAAGAACACCAGUGGCGAAGGCGGCUCACUGGCCCGGUACUGACGCUCAUGUGCGAAAGCGUGGGGAGCAAACAGG